rnacentral:rRNA from 1 species
AAUCAACGCUGGCGGCGUGCCUAACACAUGCAAGUCGAACGCGAAAGCCCCUUCGGGGGUAAGUAGAGUGGCGUCCGGGUGAGUAACACGUGGGUAAUCUACCUUCGGGUGGGGGAAUAACUCAGGGAAACUUGAGCUAAUACCGCAUAAAGCAGCGGCACCUAAUGGUGAUUAGUUGUUAAAGCGGGGGAUCGCAAGACCUCGCGCCUGAAGAGGAGCCUGCGGCAGAUUAGCUAG